UUGCAGUUAAAAAGCUCGUAGUCGGAUUUCAGUAUUAGGCCCUUCUUCCAAUACGGUUGCUAGUGGUCUUUACUUCCUUAACAGAAUCUUUCAUUUUAUUAAUUUAAAGUGUUUGGGGCCUGUUUCUUUUACUUUGAGAAAAUUAGAGUGUUCAAAGCGGGUUUUCGCCUGGAUAUUACUCUUGGAAUAAUAAUAUAGGACUUUGGUUCUUUUUUGUUGGUGACUUAGAACCGAAGUAAUGAUUGAUAGGGACAGUUGGGGUCAUUCGUACUAUGAGGCGAGAGGUGAAAUUCAUGGACCUUUGUAUGACGAACUACUGCGAAAGCAUUUGACUAGGAUGCUCCCGUUGAUCAAGAACGAAAGUUGGGGGAUCGAAGACGAUCAGAUACCGUCGUAGUCUCAACCAUAAACUAUGCCAGCUAGGGAUUGGAGGAAGAUCAUUUUACGUCUCCUUCAGCACCUUAUGAGAAAUCAAAGCAUUUGGGUUCCGGGGGGAGUAUGGUCGCAAGGCUGAAACUUAAAGGAAUUGACGGGAGGGCACCACCAGGAGUGGAGCCUGCGGCUUAAUUUGAUUCAACACGGGAAAACUUACCGGGUUCGGACAUGGGA
rnacentral:rRNA from 1 species